rnacentral:lncRNA from 1 species
GUAAGUGCUCAUUUACUCAGCCAAUGCCUGAUCUGUUAUUCCCAUGGUUUUUCCUUAGGUAAAUAUACUUCCUUGCAUUUUUGCACCUCAAAUCAGUUCUCAAAUUUGAUUCUCCUGCUUCUACAAGAGAGGUUAUAAAAUGGAUGCAAGUAUCACCCCUGAGAUGAUGUUCCUCUACUGCUCAGGGCUGUAAGCUGGCAUUUAUGGGACAGUAGGUUAUAGAUUUUACAUUGGGUAACUCAAGAGUGAGUUCUGGGAGGUGUCUCCAUGCCUCUGCAUAGGCAGUGACAACCAGUCCCAUCUGUAGGUACCAGUACAGAGAUAUUCUGCAGGGUGAGGCUGCAGAGCCUUUGCAGAGAAGCUGUUACUGAUAGCAGGUGGGAUAAACAGGGCUGCAGGUGGGAGGAAUAGGGCUUGGAUUGGGGUGCUUUGCUAUAAAUCACAGCAAGGGAGAGGUGAAGGCUUUUGUCUCUCUGCUCAUCAGUGACUGUCCCUAGCCUCUAUCCUCCCUUUGCAAAAAUCCCUGGAGGUCCCAGGAGGAAACCAUCCCAGUGGGCCUUUUGAGCAGAGGCUGAGCACCACAGAACAACCUGCAUGAAACAAUGAGCUCAUGGAUCUGUCAGCACGGCCUCCACGUCCAACAUCCGCGCAUGUGUGCCUGUGUUGACAGCGUGGUCCUGUUCUUGGAGCCCUUUGGAGACAGGUCUGACACACGCAGAACCACCAACCUCAGAGUCUCUUCCAUGACUUCAGUGGCCUGGGUGAGCAGGUGCCUCAGAAGGCAAGCAGCAGCUGACAGGCACUUUUCUGAGCUGCCAAACUUGCAGGAGAAACCCCCAAAACAGCCAAACCGGCAGGAGAAACCACUUCAGAUAAUGGGAUCUUGUGUUUGGAAUAAAAGUAAUCUGAAGACUUCUGCACAGACCCACUGUGCAAAGCCUGCAGGGCCUUAGCAGACCAUAUGCAUGGCCCAGGCUGACCUUCUGUGUAAUUCAGGCCCAAAAUCCCCACAAACUAUUUGUGAGCCUGCUCAUGCAGGACAGCUAAGAGAUGUCAACAAUUUGCACUUGCUCCCUGAUGGUUUUGUUUAACUUCUAGUUAACAGCUACCAAAACUUGCUGUAACUUCACCUGUUGAUGUCACAGCCUCUCCUGGAGGUUUUGUAAUCAAAUCACCUCUCAGCCUUUCCUUGAAUGAGCUCGGUAAUAGAGCAUCCUGAACCUCUUGUUGGUCCUUUGGCUCCUGCUUCACAUCACAGAGCUUCCCACACUGGACAGCUGACCUGCAAAUCUCCAUGUGGCUGAGCAUUUAAUGGAAUGAAUACCCCCAACACUGCAGUCUUUCACUAAACAAGGUCCCCUGAGGUUUCGUGGCCACCAAAACCUCCUCCAGGCUGCUGUACCAGCGUGCUGCAGCCUUGGUCUCAUGGUGGGCGACGAGCAGGGGACUGUCCCCUCUGUUCCCCUCAGAAGAGGAGGGUGAUUUCUUUAUUUAAAAAGAAAAGGGGGGGGG